CUGCAACUCGCCUGCAUGAAGCUGGAAUUGCUAGUAAUCGCGGAUCAGCAUGCCGCGGUGAAUACGUUCCCGGGCCUUGUACACACCGCCCGUCACACCAUGAGAGCCGGUAACACCCGAAGUCAAUAGCCUAACCGCAAGGAGGGCAUUGCCGAAGGUGGGAUUGGUAAUUGGGGUGAAGUCGUAACAAGGUACC
rnacentral:rRNA from 1 species